rnacentral:rRNA from 1 species
UGGGGAAUUUUGGACAAUGGGCGAAAGCCUGAUCCAGCAAUGCCGCGUGUGUGAAGAAGGCCUUCGGGUUGUAAAGCACUUUUGUCCGGAAAGAAAUCCUUGGCUCUAAUACAGUCGGGGGAUGACGGUACCGGAAGAAUAAGCACCGGCUAACUACGUGCCAGCAGCCGCGGUAAUACGUAGGGUGCAAGCGUUAAUCGGAAUUACUGGGCGUAAAGCGUGCGCAGGCGGUUUGCUAAGACCGAUGUGAAAUCCCCGGGCUCAACCUGGGAACUGCAUUGGUGACUGGCAGGCUAGAGUAUGGCAGAGGGGGGUAGAAUUCCACGUGUAGCAGUGAAAUGCGUAGAGAUGUGGAGGAAUACCGAUGGCGAAGGCAGCCCCCUGGGCCAAUACUGACGCUCAUGCACGAAAGCGUGGGGAGCAAAACAGGAUUAGAUACCCUGGUAGUCCACGCCCUAAACGAUGUCAACUAGUUGUUGGGGAUUCAUUUCCUUAGUAACGUAGCUAACGCGUGAAGUUGACCGCCUGGGGAGUACGGUCGCAAGAUUAAAACUUAAAGGAAUUGACGGGGUCAUAGCUG